CUAGAAAACAGUCACCUGAGAGAAAAAUGAGAGCCAACAUGUUUUCCACAGGAUCUUAAAGAGGUCGUUGUCAAGUUUUUCCUCUACGUUUUUGAGGUCUGCUAAUAGGUCAGAAGAGACCAGAAAACCUGUGGCUGUGGUGAAGUGCCCAGUAUUUAAGCACCAGCUUUCAAAUAACUAGCAACAGCUGUAAUUUCUCACAGCACUUUUCAAAGGCAACUCUUCAAAAUCAGGUGAACUACUGUGGGAAAGGCCACACCUAACAUGGUCAUUUGGCUGCCUGUGCUCGUGGACAGCUCUGGAUAGUCCAGCUCUCUGUGGACAUUGGUGAUGAGAAAAAUGCUGCAGGUUCUCAUGGGUCCUGACUCCAUGUGCCUUUGGUCUCUGCUCCUGGAUACUCUUGUGAGCUGUUCAGCCUUUUGCCUCUCAGGUUAAUUGCCUGACACCAAGAAAACCUGUCUGUCAUGCUGUGCAGGUGUUUAUCUGGAAUACUGUAUUGCUAUGGAGAUUUUGAGGUAAAUAAAUAGAACCAAUUUGGUUUUAUUUGCAGCCUUGCUGGGUGAAGAUGUGGGCUUUUGAUUGUGUCUCUCUUGGAUGCUAAAGCAAAAGGAUUGGUUAGUACAUUG